rnacentral:misc_RNA from 1 species
GAUGAAGAACGUAGCGAAACGCGAUAAGUAAUGUGAAUUGCAGAAUCCAGUGAAUCAUCGAAUCUUUGAACGCACAUUGCGCCCGCCAGCAUUCUGGCGGGCAUGCCUGUUCGAGCGUCAUUUCAACCCUCGACCUCCCCUUGGGGAGGUCGGCGUUGGGGACCGGCAGCACACCGCCGGCCCUGAAAUGGAGUGGCGGCCCGUCCGCGGCGACCUCUGCGCAGUAAUAUAGCUCGCACCGGGACCCCGACGCGGCCACGCCGUAAAACACCCAACUUCUGAACGUUGACCUCGAAUCAGGUAGGACUACCCGCUGAACUUAAGCAUAUCAAUAAGCGGAGGA